ACUCCUACGGGAGGCAGCAGUGGGGAAUAUUGGACAAUGGGCGCAAGCCUGAUCCAGCCAUGCCGCGUGGAUGAUGAAGGCCCUAGGGUUGUAAAGUCCUUUUAACGGGGAAGAUAAUGACGGUACCCGUAGAAUAAGCCCCGGCUAACUUCGUGCCAGCAGCCGCGGUAAUACGAAGGGGGCUAGCGUUGCUCGGAAUUACUGGGCGUAAAGCGCACGUAGGCGGCUUCUUAAGUCGGUGGUGAAAUCCUGGAGCUCAACUCCAGAACUGCCUUCGAUACUGGGAAGCUCGAGUUCGGGAGAGGUGAGUGGAACUGCGAGUGUAGAGGUGAAAUUCGUAGAUAUUCGCAAGAACACCAGUGGCGAAGGCGGCUCACUGGCCCGAUACUGACGCUCAUGCACGACAGCGUGGGGAUCAAACAGGAUUAGAUACCCUGGUAGUC
rnacentral:rRNA from 1 species